CAGCGUGUGACGUCAGGAUCCGGAGGGGUUUCCUGGAGACUUGCAGCAUCCUGAAGCUGUCUGUGAUUAUCCCGAGCACAGAUAACAAGCCGGCACAAACUCCAGCGCCUGCAACAGCAACAAAACAAGGGGGUGGAAGAUGGAAACGUUGGAAAAAUGGAGCAGAGACAUCAUGGCACCUCAUCAGCUGGAUAAGAAAGCGCAGUCCAAACAAAAUGGCAUGAUUGCAAAGAAUCUGCUCAACUCUCUCAAGAUUCGCAAUCAUUUGCAGCUCCAGCCAAUUUCUCGUUCAGCAUGUGCCACUGGCUCUUGUCCAGAUCUGAUGAGUAGGAACGAGCAGCCUGACUCCCGGCCGCUUGCCGUGGCCCUGACGCCCCAGCUACCCCCCAGGACCCAUCGGCCCCUGUGUCUCUCAGUGUCCUCUGACAGCAAUGGACGCUUCAAAGCUCUGGAGACCCAGGAAUGGAAGAACAACCUCAAAGCUCAGAUGGAGCAGGCCCAUAGUGCUGGAGCAGCCAGCAGCACAGGUUCCCUGGAAAGAGCAUCUCUCUUUUGCGCUUCUGGCUCCACCACCACCUCCAGCUCUGGCCUCUCCAGUCCGGUGGAGCACCUCACCAAGAGCAAGUCCUCUAGUCGCUUUUCACUCUUCUCCCCACCUUGGAACAGCAGCUCUGAGUCUGACUCCAAUCCACCUUCCCGCUCCGGAUCUAAGAAAAUGCGCAACUACAGUCGCAGAACUGGUCCUGGCAGUGCCAAAACAGGCCCAGAGACUCCAGAACCCAAGCAGAGCGUCCCUGAGCACUUCCAGUACUCAGAACCGGUCAUAUCGAAGGUAACAGACUACAUUUAUGUGGGAAACCUGAACGCGGCUUAUAGCGGACGCACGUUGUGCCGCAAUAAUAUCGACAGUAUUAUCGACAUGAGCAGCCUGCCCGGGGAGACUUGUUUGAGAGUCAUUCCUUGCACUUGUUCAAGGGGUGUCAAGCAUAGUUGGUCUCGGCUCAAAGUGGACAUAAGCGACCUUCCGGACACAGUCCAAGAAGGGCUGGCACUCAAGCAUCGCUGCUUCGAUGACAUCAAUGAGUGUAUUGAUGCCUCCACGGAGAAGAGGAAGCGAGUGCUGGUGCAUUGUCGUGAUGGUUUUUCCCUCGCACCCACUUGCAUUAUUCAGUACCUCAUGGUCAAACAAAAUAUGAGGCUUAUUGCCGCCUACGAGCUGCUCAGAGCCAAACACCCGGUCAACAUUCGUGAAUCCCAUCAGAACGUUCUGGUAAGUCUCGAAAGAGCUCUGAGACCGGGUGGGAACACGGACCCUGAGUGCUUUAAACAGGCAAUCUCUCGAAAAGUGGCUUGGACCUGAUAGCGAACCUUGAGGAACCUCACUUUUAUUUGAGCGUUUUGUAGUUUGUACAUUUUUUUUUUUUUUUUAUAUUAUUUCCUUUGUUAACAGUGAAAGGCAGUUUUUUUUGUGUUUUAACUGAGCUGGAUGUCAUGGUGUGAGUACUAACUGUGAAAAUUUACUUUAAGUUGUUCACUGGCCAUUUUAGCAAAACAAACCCUAAGAAUUUGAGUCAUUCGUUUUGCUUCUGGCUAAACAAAACAAGAACAAACAUGCUUUGUACAGCUGCUAAACAAUGAGUUUUGUCUGGGAAUAUAUCUCCUGUUUUUUCUUCUUCACGUGGGUACAUAGCCAUGCUGUGCAGGUUUAUGCUGAGGAAGAAGUUAGUGGGAGCUCUCAGGAGAUGAAACAAUGUCAUAUAUGGCUGCAAACACCACUACUGAGGCUGAAACGUCAAACUGGAGUACUAUAGCAACUAAACAUCUCAAACACUCUGAGGACAAAUUGAGGACUAAACAUGAUUAAUCACUGAAUCUGGCAGUACAUAGCACAACCUUUGUUGGCCUCCUUAUUCAUUUGACAGUUGUUUGAUAUUUCUCUGUGUUUAACCAGGGUUUGAAAGAUGCACAGUAAGAGUAGUCCUCUAUGAGGAGACAUUUCAUUUACUAGGUUAAGUGUCUUUUAUUAAAUGUGUAAUAUUCAACAUGUUUGAUCAAAUAAUUCAGUGCUUGGAAACAAUGUGAAUUUUGUGAUCUUGUAAAGCAUUGAAAUUGGCCCACUUUAUAACUUUUAUGGAGUGUUGGUAUUUGGAAAAUGAAUUAAACAGAGUUGUGGAGCAAUGCUCAAUUGCAAAGGCUUGAUAUUGCACUAACCACAAGGAAAUGCACAAGUUUUGCUGAAACGUGGCUUAGUUUGAUUUAAUGUUGCGCAGUGAAUAUAGAUCAAAAUAUUUUUAUUACGAUAAUGUUUAUGCUUAUCUAUUAUGAUUGUUGUUCCAUGGUUUCUAUUGUAUUUUGAUUUAGCCAUUUAGAAAAAUGUAACAACCCUGACAGCAAAUGUAUGUCACUGAGACAUCUUGAAUGCGUGCAUUUUCAUUUAAGAGCAUUAGCUAGUUUACAGUAUGUACACCUAGUUUGUAAUAAAAGUGACCAAUGCAACAAAGAUAGAUAGCUGUCAUUAUAAUCAAUGGAUAUAUUGUUGAUUAUAAUGUGAUCAAUCUAGUUUUGUCACUUUGCAACACGUUGUUUGCUUUUAGUGUAGAUUGGAAUGUUUUCUGCAACAUUUAUGUUUUCAAGUUUAUAGUAAUCUGCUGUUGUUCUGACGUCCGCACACAAAUAUAAUGUGUCUUGGUGACGUACAUGUGCUUAAGGGGAAAUAUAUUUAACAUGGCUUAUACUUAUCAGCAGUGAUUCUUCUGUUUUGAUAUUUAGUGCUCAGUUUGGUGAAGAAAGACCCUCCUAAGUUUUGGUGCCUUUCGUUUGAACUCGUCCAGUGUGAUUAUUGUGACAUUCACACGCGCACACUGUAUGCACUCAUCAGGUAUAGACAAAAUGUCGUCCUUAUGCUUUGACAUGUUCAGGAAAUGCUCCAUGUUGGUGUAAUUUUGUGAUGUAUGGCAGAGAUCAGUUUCAUCUGAGGUUUCAUAGCAGUGCUCACAGUGAACAGUGCCUGUAUUUCAAUUAGUGUGGUGGUGACGUCAAUCAGUGUGAUCAUUACCUUCUUCUACGGGCCUGCAAUUAGCUUCUGACAUUAGGAAAGCUGUAUUUAGAUUCAAAUAGAACAUUUAUUGUUGGUUUAUUCUUAUUCAUUAGCCUAUUUAAAUCUAUAUUUUUGGAUGGUUGAUCUUGCCCUGUAAAGGUCUAACAACAUGAACUCUCAGGUUAAAUUUAUUGGCCUAGAAAACAUUCUCAAUGCGUUAGAAACCAGAAUAAUGUGAGGCAAUGUAUUUUCUGUAUAACGUUUUUGCAGAAACUGCAUUUGUACAUGUUGAUAUUAAAGAGAAUCUGAUGCACUGACUUUCUUGUCAUGUAUGAUUUGUUCCAAUAGCAAAUGUGCUUUGUGAAUCUUGGAAAAAAUAUUUUAGCAAUUUUAGCAAGAGGCUACGUAAG
ensembl:lncRNA